rnacentral:rRNA from 1 species
GACGAACGCUGGCGGCGUGCUUAACACAUGCAAGUCGAACGGAAAGGCCCUGCGUUUGUGGGGUGCUCGAGUGGCGAACGGGUGAGUAACACGUGAGUAACAUGCCCUUGACUUUGGGGUAACUUCAGGAAACUGGGGCUAAUACCGGAUAGGAGCUCCUGCUGCAUGGUGUGGGUUAGUGAGUUUCGGCGGUUGGGGAUAGACUCGCGGCUUACGAGCUUGUUUGUGGGGUAGUGGCUUACCAAGGCUUUGACGGGUAGCCGGCCUGAGAGGGUGACCGGCCACAUUGGGACUGAGAUACGGCCCAGGCUCCUACGGGAGGCAGAAGUGGGGAAUAUUGCACAACGGGCGGAAGCCUGAUGCAGCAACGCCGCGUGCGUGAUGACGGCCUUCGGGUGGUAAACCGCUGUCGCAUGUGACGAAGCGUGAGUGGCGGUAAUGGGUAAAGAAGCACCGGCUAACUACGUG